UCGAGCGGACCGACGGGAGCUUGCUCCCUUAGGUCAGCGGCGGACGGGUGAGUAACACGUGGGUAACCUGCCUGUAAGACUGGGAUAACUCCGGGAAACCGGGGCUAAUACCGGAUGCUUGAUUGAACCGCAUGGUUCCAAUCAUAAAAGGUGGUUUUUACCUACCACUUACAAAUGGACCCGCGGCGCAUUACCUAGUUGGGGAGGUAACGGCUCACCAAGGCAACAAUCCGUACCCAACCUGAAAGGGUGAUCGGCCACCCGGGGACGGAAACACGGCCCAAACCCCUACGGGAGGCACCAUUAGGGAAUCUUCCGCAUGGGACAAAAGUCUGACGAACCACCGCCCCGGGAGUGAUGAAGGUUUUCGAAUCGAAAAAUUCUUUUGUUAGGGAAAAACAAUUACCGUUCGAAUAGGGCGGCACCUUGACGGUCCCUAACCAAAAGGCCACGGCAAA
rnacentral:rRNA from 1 species